UAAAAAUUAAUAAAAUAAAAGCAAAAUUAUAAGUUCGUUUGCGGGUGUAGCGACACUACGUUAGCGAACAGACUUUACAUAAACAAUACAUAGUUUG